rfam:Trichobilharzia regenti genome assembly, scaffold: TRE_scaffold0017038
GUACUGCCGAAGAGUCCCAUAUUAGGAGGAAACGGCUUUCCAGUAC